ACGGUCAGCUGGUCGCUCUUCUCAGGUGUACAUCACCUAUUAUAAUUUUACCUAAUUUUGAUACUGUGAUAAGGAAAGUCCCAGGACUUAUCAGCUGGGACAGGCCUCUCUUACAAGACAGCUCUGUUCAGUAUUUGGAAGAAAGCCUGACAGGUUUCUUCGGAAAAGUGGCCAUCCAUGGAAUGAAUGAAAUGUUCUCUUUCUAUUCCAGGGAUUGCAGUGGCAAAGCUAGGCUAGGUCUUGGAAGCUGGUGUAAGGCGAUGCGGGUGAAGGCAGGAGGCUGAUGGAAAGACUGGGGGGAAGAAAAGCCGAAAUGGAUUCACGGUGCCUUGGAUGAAGGACGAGAGGGGAACUGCAAGCUCCUUCAACUGGUUCUGUCCGGUGAGAAGUGAUCAAGCUUGGGCUGACAAGAGGCUCAGGGAACCCUCACGUUCUUUCGCUUUUUUACCUGCCAAUCAAACUGCUACAAGACAACACCCUGAUCUGGCAUGGACAUUCAAGUGCAUUUUACCCACAAAGAUCCCAACAAGAGAGUGGAAGGAAACUUAGACAAGGCUUUGUUUGACUCCGUGUAGCGACAACAAGAGAAACAAAACUACCUAUUUGUAACGGACGUGCUGCCAUUGCCCUCCGCAUUGAGCGCCUACCUAUUGAAAUCUUUACGUCGGGACAAUGGGAGAGCGGCUAAAAUUACCCUCUUGGGUCCUGGGCGGGCAAGAUUCCUGAGUCCCUACCCCCGCCUCCAUCUCAUCCUCCUCUAACCCGGGCAUUGCUGGGCUCCCCCUUCCCCAGUCCCGGCCGCCUUCUCCCAGUGUGCGCUGCCUGCACCUGUGCCUGGAGAGCAUCGACCCCGCCUCCCAAGACUUGAGCCCCUUUGCGGCGCAGCCCCAGCCUUGCGCGGCCUGGGCUUUGCAGCCACCACAGUGGAAAUCGACGGGGGAAAUGCCAGGGCUGGUUCUGCUCGAGUCCUGGGAACUCUGCGUGGGAGGGAGUUUGUGACUGCGGCCCAAAAGCCACCUCCGUACAGUGCCGUGGGAUGCCAGGAAGUUGAAAUCACCCUCCCCCAUCGCCUGCACUUUUGAGCGCCCUUCCGUCUGUCUCUUUCCCCAGCCCCCAUUUGAAACCCGCACGACCGAAACCCUUCUUUCAGGGAGGCAUGGGAUGGGAAUGGGGAGUGGGGGGAGACAGUAGGAGCAUCCCCUUUGCUACGGUUGAAUGAAGACAGUCUAGUGGGAGAUGUGGCUGGGGCUAAGAGGAAGAGCUGCAGUUUCCUGGGCCAAAGAGCUGAGUUGGAUAGGGAGAUGGCAGCUUACCAAGGCCUGCCGGUUCUCAGCUCUAGAGUCGGCCUCAUGGUCCGAGCAGGAUUUAUUUUUAAGAACAGAGCAACGUUACGUGGAAGCAAGGAAGGUUUUGAGGACAGAGGUUUGGGUCUCCUAACUGCUAGUCGGGACUGUGAGAAGGGAGUGAGAGUGUUGGCACCUGUAAGGUAAGAGGGGAGAGCGGAAGAGCGCGGUACGGGAGCGGCACCAGAGGGGCUGGAGUUGGGGGGGGGAGUGCUGUGGAUGAGCAGGAGAACAAUGACACACCAACUCCUGCACUGGCUGUUUCCAGAAAUACGAGUUGGACAGCCGCCCUGAGCCACCCACUGUGCCCUGCCCCACCCCCGCACCUUAGCUGCUUCCCGCGUCCCAUCCUCAUUUCAGUACCCUGCACCAAAAAGUAAAUCAAUAUUAAGUUUAAAGAAAAAAAAAAA
rnacentral:lncRNA from 1 species